UACGAAGGGGGGCUAGCGUUGCUCGGAAUGACUGGGCGUAAAGGGCGCGUAGGCGGUUUGUACAGUCAGGUGUGAAAUUCCCGGGCUCAACCUGGGGGCUGCACUUGAUACGUAGGGACUUGAGUGAGGAAGAGGGUCGUGGAAUUCCCAGUGUAGAGGUGAAAUUCGUAGAUAGUUGGGAAGAACACCGGGUGGCGAAGGCGGCGACCUGGUCCUUUACUGACGCUGAGGCGCCGAAAGCGUGGGGAGCAAACAG
rnacentral:rRNA from 1 species